UGACUUUAGCACAAAGCUCAGGGUGUCCCCAGUAUUCAAAAACUACUCGCGCUUAUCCAUUGCACUCCGGAUGUGCUGACCCCUGCGAUUUCCCCAAAUGUGGGAAACUCGACUGCAUAAUUUGUGGUAGUGGGGGACUGCGUUCGCGCUUUCCCCUG